AUGGCUGCUGAUGAUGUCACACUAACGCUCGACCGUCACCUCUUCUUCCCCUCCUUCGCUGACCAGAUCUUCACCGUCAUAUCACUAGAGAGAGAAAGAGAGUUAGAGAGAGAGAGAGAGAGAGAGAGAGAGAGAGAGAGAGAGAGAGAGAGAGAGAGUAGAGGGAGGAGAGACAGAGGGAGGAGAGACAGAGAGAGGGAGAGACAGAGGGAGGAGAGACAGAGAGAGAGGGAGAGACAUAGGGAGGAGAGAGAGAGAGAGACAGAGGGAGGAGAGACAGAGGGAGGAGAGAGAGAGAGAGACAGAGGGAGGAGAGACAGAGGGAGGAGAGAGAGAGAGAGACAGAGGGAGGAGAGACAGAGACAGGGAGAGACAGAGGGAGGAGAGAGAGACAGAGAGAGAGGGAGAGACAGAGGGAGGAGAGACAGAGAGAGAGGGAGAGACAUAGGGAGGAGAGAGAGAGAGAGACAGAGGGAGGAGAGACAGAGGGAGGAGAGAGAGAGAGAGACAGAGGGAGGAGAGACAGAGACAGGGAGAGACAGAGGGAGGAGAGAGAGACAGAGAGAGAGGGAGAGACAGAGGGAGGAGAGACAGAGAGAGAGGGAGAGACAUAGGGAGGAGAGAGAGAGACAGAGGGAGGAGAGACAGAGGGAGGAGAGACAGAGGGAGGAGAGACAGAGGGAGGAGAGAGAGAGAGAGACAGAGGGAGGAGAGACAGAGACAGGGAGAGACAGAGGGAGGAGAGACAGAGACAGGGAGAGACAUAGGGAGGAGAGACAGAGACAGGGAGAGACAGAGGGAGGAGAGACAGAGACAGGGAGAGACAUAGGGAGGAGAGAGAGACAGAGAGAGAGGGAGAGACAGAGGGAGGAGAGACAGAGAGAGAGGGAGAGACAUAGGGAGGAGAGAGAGAGAGAGACAGAGGGAGGAGAGACAGAGGGAGGAGAGAGAGAGAGAGACAUAGGGAGGAGAGACAGAGACAGGGAGAAACAGAGGGAGGAGAGAGAGAGAGAGACAUAG
rnacentral:lncRNA from 8 species